UAACAGCAGAAGCUCUGUAUCAUGAACAUCCAAGUAACACCGUACCACCUAAUGAUCGGGUUAUUGUCUUUAAGGCUACACUGGGUUCGGAAACUUAUACCCUAGCAUCUAAUCCUAUAAAAGUAGCAGUCCCUGCAAAAACCCUGCAAAUCACUAAUGCUCCUCCAGCAACUAUCAAGGCAAACACACCAUUCAGUGUUACUGUGGAGAUUGUUGAUGCUAGUGGAAAUGUGGUAGCAAGCGGACUAGAUUCUACACUACACGUCACCAUGUCGGUUGGCUAUGAAUAUAAACAAUUUUAUCAUCUUAUUGGAAAAGAAAUGUUUCUUAAAACAACUCAAUUUCGACUAGCCGGUAGCGAGUCUAGUGUACAUGCAAGUUAUUAUGACACAAUCAUUCGAAAAAGAGCAGUCAGUGGAGUUGUAACAUUUUCAGACAUUCGUAUUUUGGAUGUGGGAUCAUUAAAAUUGAAUUUCACAAUGACAGUGCCAAGAGAUCCGUGGAUAAGACAACCAAAUGUAUACACAGAUUUAAAAUGUAAAACCAUUGAUAGUUCAAAAGUGACUUUUACUUAUAACUCA